CAUAGUUCUCAGGGCGGGGUGCGAUUCCCCACCGGCGGUAAGGCGGCAACGUCAAGCCCGCGAGCGCUUGGUGAAAAUCAAGGUCAGCAGAUCCGGUUAGAUUCCGGGGCCGACGGUAUAGUCCGGAUGAAAGAGAACGGGA
rnacentral:ncRNA from 2 species